rnacentral:ncRNA from 24 species
AAAAAUAAGCUGCUCCGAGUAUUUUCACCUAAAGCUUUAGGCCAUGGUGAAAAUACCAAAGGGUACUACCGGGAAACCGGGGUGCCUCCCGUUUUGGAAAGGAGUUAUCAAAGCGCCUUU